UGGCCACCCAGGAUUCCCCACAUAAAGCC
rnacentral:piRNA from 1 species